rnacentral:lncRNA from 1 species
GCCCCUAGGAGUUUUUAGCGGAUCAGCGGGAUUAAAUAAACACAUUUUAAUUCAAAUAUAAAUUUGAAUAGUCCCAAUUGGCCUCAAACCUUUUUGUACAUCCAUGUAAGAUAGCCUAGUAUUUAUGUGCUAAGUCUCACAAUUAACAAAAAUCAUCUGAUAGCAUAAAGUAAAUGCAAAACAUUGGAGAAAUUACAAAACAGUAAAUAAAAAUAAGAAAAGAAAGAUGCCUAACUACUACUGUGGAGUGGGCUCUUCUUGCAAAGUGCACUUGGCCCAUCGUGAAUAUUACCCAAUACAGCCCAUCUCUCCCUCCUCUUCAACCUUACCUACAGAGACUAGUGCUUGUCGUUCAUCCGCGGCCAUCGUCGCUCGAUUGCCGCCACGCACGCCACAGAGCCUCCCCAUCCCUAUAAGCACACCCAGGGAACCCUAGAUCGAGCUCGCCCGAUCCCCUCUUUUUCCCCAUCGUGCCCCCUCCUCAUCUGCUCGAAAUCGAGCGCAAGAGCUCGCGCGGUGAUUGCGCCGUCGUCAUGGUUGCCGUAGCCACUGGCCACCGUUCGCCGUCCGCUGAUGCCCAGAAGAAGCGCGUCGUCAUCCUCUUCUUCCACGUCAAGCGCCACCAGCUAGGACGGCCUCGUGCCGUCGCUUCCGUCGAUCCCCUCUGCGGGCAACCGUCGUUGUCCGUCGUCGACGCGCUCGACCCUGCCUCCCCCUCCGGUCGGCGGAGAAUGCCGCCACCACGCCGUCGUCACCAAGCCUCCCCCGAGCCCGCGAACGCACAUCUGCAGGGCCCGGUGAGCUCCUCGUCGUCUCCCCCUUUUUCCCCGUCGAAUCUGUCGCCUUAGGCCGUCUUAGCCGCCGCGUUGGAACCCUCUGUGAGCUCAUGCUGACCCUGCCCGCGCUUGACUUCUCUCGACCGCACCUCGUCGCUACUUGCCGCGACAUACGCCUGCGGGACGCGUCCAUGGCCGCUCCUGCGCCGCACACUAGCCGUUCCCGUCCAAUCACGACCCCGCGGGUCGCGCCCUCGACCUCAGGUGCGCGUACGUCCGCCUGCUGCUGCUGCUUUGCCGAUGCGGCUCCGCUCGCUGCACUGCUGCUUGGCGCGCGUGGUCGUGCGCCCUGCUCCGUCUAGCUGUCGUAACUGUUCUGUUGCUUGUGCUGUUCGCUGCUCUGCUGCUACUCUCUGCUGCCGCCGCUGCUUACUGUUGGUGCUGCUGCUAGUUGCCGCCGCCGCCGCUCCUGCUAGUGCCGUUUUGCUGCUAACUCUGCUCCGCUGCUGGUGCUCCUACUGCCUGCUACCGCGGACUGCUACUGCUACUAGCCAUGGCCAUGCCAUGGCCAUCCGUGUGUGGUGUGUGUGUGCUACGUGUGUGGCCGGCUCGGCCAUUGUCCAGUGCGGCCAGCCCCUUGUUAAAUUAGGAUUAGAUUAGUUUGGGUUAAAUUAGUGCUAAUUUAGUUUAAUAGCAAAUGACAUGUGGACCACCUGUGUUGGUUAUGUCUAAUUAAUUGACUUAAUAAAAACAGAGUCUAUGACAAUUGGCCACAACUGGCACUGUUCAUCAGUUGACCAGUCAAGCAUUGACUGGGUCAACUCAGAACCUGACCCACCUGUAAGCAUCUGGUUCUAGCUGUUCCUGGGUAAAAAAGGGUAAUUUUGCAUUUUAUUCUCGAAAUUAAUAAAAAAGAAAAUGUUUAAAACUUUAGAAAAUUAAUAUAAAAUAAACCGUAGCUCGGAUGGAAAAACUUUGUACAUGAAAUUUGCUUAGAACGACCAGACGAAUCCGGAUACGCAGCCCGUUCGUUCGCCCCACAUCCCUAGUAUAACAAAUACACAACUUUUCCCCUCCGUUUCAUCUGUCCGGAAAUGCGAAACACCGGGGAUACUUUCCCGGAUGUUUUUUCCCUUUGCCGGUAUCACCUACUACUGCGUUAGGUCACCCCUAGCACCGCGUAUUGCCAUCUUACACUUUGUGAUGCUUUGGUUGCUCUGUUAUUUAUUGUGUUCCCCCUCCGUUACUUCUUUCCGGUAGACCCUGAGACUGCCGGCGACCCCCGAUCGACUACGGUGUUGACGACCCCUGCUUCUUGCCAGAGCAACCAGGCAAGCCCCCCCCCUUGAUCACCAGAUAUCGCCUAUUCCUCUCUAUACUCUUGCAUUAGAGUAGUGUAGCAUGUUACUGCUUUCCGUUAAUCCUAUUCUGCUGCAUAGCCUGUCUUUGCCACUACUGUUGUUACCUUUACUUGCAAUCCUACAUGCUUAGUAUAGGAUGCUAGUUUUUCAUCAGUGGCCCUACAUUCUUGUCCGUCUGCUGUGCUAUACUAUCGGGCUGUGAUCACUUGGGAGGUGAUCACGGGUUUAUACUAUAUACUUUAUACAUUAUACAUGUGGUGACUAAAGUCGGGUCGGCUCGUGGAGCACCCGCGAGUGAUUCACGAUUGGGGGCUGAAAGGACCUUUGUCCCGACGGCCCUCUGGGUGGAUCUUUGUGGCGGAGUGACAGGGCAGGUUGAGACCGCCUAGGUGAGAGGUGGGCCUGGCCCUGGUCGGUGUCCGUGGUUACAUCAAUUAACAUGCUUAACGAGAUCUUGGUAUUUGAUCUGAGUCUGGCCAUUUGGUCUAUACGCACUAACCAACUACGUGGGAACAGUUAUGGGCACUCGACGUCGUGGUAUCAGCCGAAGCCUUCGUGACGUCAGCGACUGAGCGGCAUGCGCCGGGUUGGACCGCGUAACGCAACUUUCUUUGAAAUGGAGGUUGCUAGGUCUGCUCUCCGGCUGCGUACGCAACGUGCAGGUGUGCAAUGGGCGAUGGGCCCAGACCCCUGCGCGCAUAGGAUUUAGACCGGCGUGCUGACCUCUCUGUUGUGCCUAGGUGGGGCUGCGACGUGUUGAUCUUCCGCGGCCGGGCAUGACCCAGAAAAGUGUGUCCGGCCAAAUGGGAUCGAGCGUGUUGGGUUAUGUGGUGCACCCCUGCAGGGAAGUUUAUCUAUUCGAAUAGCCGUGAUCUUCGGUAACAGGACAACUUGGAGUUGUACCUUGACCUUAUGACAACUAGAACUUGAUACUUAAUAAAACACACCCUUACAAGUGCCAGAUAUAACCCGGUGAUCGCUCUCUAACAGGGCGACGAGGAGGGGAUCGCUGGGUAGGAUUAUGCUAUGCGAUGCUACUUGGUGAACUUACCAUCUACUCUCUUCUACAUGCUGCAAGAUGGAGGUGGCCAGAAGCGUAGUCUUCGACAGGAUUAGCUAUCCCCCUCUUAUUCUGGCAUUCUGUAGUUUAGUCCACCGAUAUGGCCCUUUACACAUAUACCCAUGCAUAUGUAUUGUAGCUCCUUGCUUGCGAGUACUUUGGAUGAGUACUCACAGUUGCUUUUCUCCCUCUUUUCCCCCUUUCCCUUCUACCUGGUUGUCGCAACCAGAUGCCGGAGCCCAGGACCCAGACGCCACCGUCGACGACGACUCAUACUACACCGGAGGUGCCUACUGCUACGUGCAGGCCGCUGACGACGACCAGGAGUAGUGUAGGAGGAUCCCAGGCAGGAGGCUUGCGCCUCUUUCGAUCUGUAUCCCAGUUUGUGCUAGCCUUCUUAUGGCAAACUUGUUUAACUUAUGUCUGUACUCAGAUAUUGUUGCUUCCGCUGACUCCUCUAUGAUCGAGCACUUGUAUUCGAGCCCUCGAGGCCCCUGGCUUGUAUUAUGAUGCUUGUAUGACUUAUUUAUGUUUUAGAGUUGUGUUGUUAUAUCUUCCCGUGAGUCCCUGAUCUUGAUCGUACACGUUUGCGUGCAUGAUUAGUGUAUGAUUGAAUCGGGGGCAUCACAAGUUGGUAUUAGAGCUGACUGCCUGUAGGAACCCCCCUUCCACACCCCUUCGCCAAAGUUGAGUCUAGUCGAUGAAAAUGGUUUUAUUAACAUGGUUGUGUGGCCCAUGGGCCCACGUCGCCAUUGGGUGGUAUUAGGAUCUUUUAUUCCUUGACCUAUACUCUGGGACUCUGAUCUCUCUUCUAUUCGGGUUAAAUGAUUUUACUAACUCUGACUCUAGGUUCGCGUAACUACUUCCACCCGGAGAGCCCCUUACUCUAGAUGAUUACUUGGUCCAUCGAAGGAUUUCGAAGAUACUCUCCGAUGUUCUCUCGAGACUUUGAGCCUGUUGCUUUUGCAAUUCCCUACCACCGAAAUAUCCCUAUGGAUAAAUACAUACACUUGCCGUUCUUACUUUUAUUCCCAGUUAAUCUUGUUAUAACUAGAUACCCUGAAAUCCCCUCUAUUGUUCCAAGAAUAUUUUGUGCCUACUGCCUUGCAGUUCCUUGCCACCUGAAUACCCCUACGGAUAAUUUCUCGCCUUUAUCGAGUAUCCGCUCAUCCGCAGUUGUUCAUGUGUUUCACAAUUGUCUUCGAAAUACUAUUCGAUCCUCCAAAAUUCCUCAGUAGCUUAUUGCUCUGCAAUACUUGUCUGCUUGCAUUAUGGAUGCUUUCCAUAUGUCUGGCAAUAUUCGUUAGUAUCCUUAGACACCGUCAUUUUGGUCCUAUCGAUUCAACAUGAGUGCGAAUUCACGCAAUCGUCAGUUGAUCCUUUUAAAUUAUAUUUCCGGCUCAGACGUCAUUUUGAACAUGAGCUGGAUCUCGACCAAUGAAAUUGCUGUUGAUUUUACCCCUAAGCUUACUGUGGCACCCCGGCUCAGAGCGACCGGUUUACCCUGCAUUGCCAGCCCAGAGAUCAUGUCUUCUGGCAACACACAACAUAUUGGUACAUAAAACAACCGCUUUAUUGAUGCUAGCGGAACAGAGUUCAUAUUACAACAGUGGUCGAGGCCAAGCGGCACACUCGGUGCGGCGGAACAAUAUGUACAUUAUUUAGUGAACAUAAAGGGGCCUCGACUCGAACAACUACGUGGCAGCGGAAUAACGUCAUAGCGGAAGCUCCAUAUCACAGGGACACUGAUGUGGACACGGUCUAGACUCGAACAGCGCUCCUUUCCAACGAGACUUUCCUGAAAUCUGGCAUGACACGCCAGGUCAGUACAUUGAAUGUACUUGCAAGCUCACAACAAGCAUAAUCAUAAUGACAAACAAUAUCAUGAUAUUUAACCAAUUAUUAAUAAUGCAACAUUAUAUGUCAACAUGCUGUGAUCAAGCCCGAACGUCCCUCGGGACAGCUUACCAACUGUGAUCAUCUCUGGACCACAAACACACCACCAUAGUGGUCUUUCUCAAGAACAACUCAUGAUCCUUACGUCGAUCACAACCACGACCAUCAUUUGGUCCCAAAUACCUCGAUGGCCUUUCUGCCAUCCAUUGACAAUGCAAAGUUCAUAGCUUAGUGUGCAAUUUUUAUUAAACGUUGACUCAUGGUGGGACCUAGUACGAGGUGUCCGUGACCGUGGACUCGGCUAUUGAUAGAUUAUACACUCUGCAGAGGUGGCACACCGUACCCACACCACGGAACCCAUGGCCUCGCAUUCCCAUUCGGGUGGACCAACGGCAUUCCGACAAAACCCCUCCAUUGUCACAGCACUCUCCCGGCCACUCCGACCCAAAUCCCCAACGGGCUGGUCCUGGGUGGCCCUGUGUCUACCAAAGACACCCCGACCACCGUCGUGGUCAAAACACUCCCACUCGGGGACUCGGUACCAUAAUCUCAUCAACGAGCACACAAGAUUAUGUGUGCUUACCGGGCCAGGGCAAACACGACAUAAUCAUCCCUAGAUGGAGGCACCGACCAGAGGCCGUGUCAAUGGACCGAAUCAAGGCCUUCCCACAAGGCAAAUGUGGUUGCACUGGAAAGAAACUCGAUUCAGCGGCACCAUGACCCAGUCAACGGUAUAUUCAAGUUGAGUUAUAUUCAGGAUUAACUUUAAACUAAAAAUGACCGGUGUCAUAGCAUGCCAUGAAAUGCAAAACAACACAUAAAUCACAUAUUGAUAAAAAUGACCGACGUCAUCCAUAUGCACACCAAGCAUAAACGUCAACAACUCAUAUUACUCUACUUGCUCAAAAUGACUCACAACUUAACCAAAAUAUUUUGCAACAAGUUUUAUUAAUUUCCUACGCAAGAAAGUAACUUCGAUAAAUUUUUCAUAUGCUUGACCAAAAGAUAUCAUUAUCAACAACUCUUAAUUUCUUUAUCACUAAGUUGGGUUCAAACAUUCUGUAAGACAAGUAAUAUGAUUAAACAAGUAUUUAACAGAAUAUUUUCUAACAAAUUUUUAUCAAUUUAAGAAUGCAAACACAAAGCUUUAAAUAAUUACUAACAUGCAUAACAAAAUUAUUUCUAACAUCACCUCAAAUAAAUUUUAACCUGCUUUACCCACUUAAACUAGUUUCAACUAUUCUGUAAAUCAAGCAUAACAAGUGACCAAUACUUAACAUAAUACAAAUAAUUCAAUAAUUAUUUAAAUGCAUGAGUUAAUCAUUUCAUUUAAGUGAGAAAAUCAUAAAUAUUGAAAUGGCAUCAUAAAAAUGUUGCUGUGGCUUGCCUUAGUGCAGAUGAGGUUCACAAGCCUCCUGGUGAUCCUCAAGACAAGCCUCACCUUCUGAAAAUAAUUUUAAACACAAAAAGAAAAUAUCAAGAACACUUCUGAAAUUCACCAGAAAUUAUAAAAAGCUCAGAAAAAUCUCAUCUUUGGUGAGCUGUUAGAUUUCCUUUCAAAGAACACAAUGCAAAAAGAAUCAUCUCAUUUGGACUUAUGGUUAAAAAGUUAAAAUUGUUUGAAGCUCUCUGGAAUAUAAAUGAGUCUGAAUAAAAAGAAACAGCUGGGGGGGUGACGUCGAAGGCGUAAAGCACAGGGGCGCCACCACUCGUACUGCUUCGCGCGUGUACUGAGUGGCUGACUAGCGGGCCCUGCUAGUCAGGUGGGGGAAGAGGGAGAGAGAAACAGAGAGGGCCGCGGCUUCGCCGGAGCUCUCGCCGGCGACGAGGGCUCCUUGGCCCAAACGAGAGGGAGGUAUUGAGAGAGGGGACGAUGGCGCACCUUCCCGUACCCGUAGCGUGGCUAGGGGUGGUCGGACAGCGUCUGAAACUAGCUCGCAAGCGGAGGUAGAACAUGGAGGUCGCCGGAGUUGAGGAAGACGGCGAGCAGAGGUCACUCCAGAGGCUCCAAGCGGGCGAGAUGGCCUCACCGGAGAGAGGCGGAGGCCCUGGAGGGGUCGCCCAGGCCUGGGAGGGGCUGGAGCUACCGCGGCGACCAGAGGGGAUCGCCGGCGAGGUCGAGCUCGGGGACGGCGGCCUGAGGCCUGCCCGGCCGGGCUACGGCUUCCUACUUGAUUGUGGGGUGUGUGUGAGUGCUGGAUGGUGCUCGAGGAGGCUGGGGGUGGCUCUAUUUAUAGGCGAGCGGCGAGGGUGCUUCGGGCUCCGCCGGUGGACACCUGUCCACGGCGCCCGGCGACGAGCGGCGUCAGUGAGAGGGGGAGAAGGCGACGGAGGUCACGCGGCCACUAUGGGCGAGCGGAGACGAGCACAGGAUCAAGGGGAUGGCGACGAGCACAGUGCGCUCCGCACUGUUGGGCUGGCCGGACCUUGCCCGUGCUCGCUGCAGCGAGCUCCGGCGUCGGCGAGUGCCAGGGAGGAGUUAAGGACGUCGAGACGAUGAUGGUGGCGGGGUUUGGCAUGGUUGGGCAGGCGGGGGAAGCGAGCGCGCUCGAACAGAGCAGUCGGCGUCACCCAGAGCGCGUCGACACGCAUGCCUGGCAUCGUGGACACGCGUGGUCACCGCGCAAACUCUCUCCUCAGGCCAGCCUUCGUCCAAAAAUCAUGUCUGGCAUGUUGUUCGUGGUAGUUUUGAAGUUUACAACGGUUUGGUUUGGAUCCAGGUGCAGUAGAGAAGAUUUUACAGGCCAGGUAAGUUUCUGGACAGUAACUUUGUGAUGUUACUGUGGUCAAAUGGCUGGGAGUUUGGGGCUGUGCUUUGGAGGCUAGUUAUAAGUUACUAAGGUAAAGAUGCACAAGAAAGUUCAGGUCAAAUGGAGCAAGUAAAAUGGUAGUUGCUGUAGAAACCACCAUUUCUGUCCAGAACAGAAAAUAUUUUCUGUAGCAAAAAUAUUCCAAAAAGUGAUGAAAUAUUUUUGCUCAGGGAGGUGCCCUAGGGUCCCUAGAAUAUUUGUGAAUUAUCUUAGAAUUUUCCGAGCCAUAAAAAUUAGGGUUGCCUUGAAGCAAACAGAUCUGGCUUAGGGUUUUUGAGAGAAAAUAAAUAUUUUUCAUUUAAGAAAAAUAUUCCAAAGGUUAUUUUGUGGUGGAUCAGAAGUGAAGUGAUGGUUUGGGAGAGAAGUGAACACUUGGGAGAAAGCUAAGGAUGCCCAAGUGUUUAAGUCCAAAUUAAAAGAUUCAGAAACUCCAAGUUUCAAAAACUUUCAAAUGAAAUUUCAAGCAAAUAAGAAAGGGCAAAAACCAGGCUGUCACAAACCUCCCCCACUUAGAAUGAAUCUCGUCCUCGAGAUUCGGUUCCUUGGGAAAACCACUCUGGAUACUGACUCUUAAGGAACUCUUCCUGCUCCCAAGUUGCUUCUGACUCGGUGUGAUGCUCCCACUGAACUUUGAAAAAAUUUCUGACUUUGCUGCGAGUGACCCUUUCCACUUGAUCCAAAAUUUUGUACGGUCUUUCUUCAUAAGUUAAAUCGUUUGCCAAUUCUAUCUCAGCCAUUGCAGUCCUUUUCUCAGGCGGGGAUAUGCAUCGUCUCAAUUGCGAAACAUGGAACACAUUGUGUAUUUCUGACAACUCCGGGGGUAGUUCCAUUUGGUAUGCAACCGUACCCACUCGAGACAUAAUUGAGAAUGGACCAAUGAAUCUGGGUGCCAGCUUUCCACGAGUCUGAAAUCGCUUAACUCCUUUCAUAGGAGUGACUCGGAGGUACACAUGUUCUCCGGGUUCAAAACUGACCUGCCGGUGCUGUGCAUCAUAAUAACUCUUCUGACGGGAUUUGGCCAAUUGCAGUCGGUCUCUGAUUUCCCUGACUUGUUUCUCGGCUUCCAUCAUGAGAUCGGUUCCGAAGAUAUGGCUAUCUCCAGCUUGAGACCAAUUUAGAGGAGUGCGGCACUUACGACCAUAUAGAGCUUCAUAGGGUGACAUCUUUAGACUGGUCUGGAAACUGUUGUUAUACGAGAACUCGGCGUAUGGCAAGCAAUCUUCCCAGUUCGCCCCGUUGGCUAGCACAUAGGCUCACAACAUAUCUUCGAGUAUUUGAUUUACUCGCUCUGUCUGACCGUCCGUCUGGGGGUGAUAAGCAGUACUAUAUUUUAGUGCCGUCCCCAAGGCUUGAUGGAGGCGGGACCAAAAAGCGGAGGUAAACAAAGAACCUCGGUCGGAAGUGAUAGUCCGGGGUACCCCAUGCAGACUGACGAUUCUGGAUACAUACAGUUGCGCCAGUUCAUUUGCUCUGUAUCUGGUGCUGACCGGGAUGAAAUGAGCAACCUUGGUUAGGGUGUCCACUAUAACCCAGAUUGCGUCUUUGCCUCACUGAGUCCUAGGCAAUCCGGUGAUGAAGUCCAUGCAAACAUCAUCCCAUUUCCAUUGUGAAACUGGCAGUGGUUGGAGAAGUCCGUCUGGCUUCUGAUGCUCUGCUUUCACCUUGUUGCAUAUGUCGCAACAGGCUACAAAAUAGGCAAUGUCUUUCUUCAUCCCAUUCCACCAGAAUAUUUGUUUAAGGUCUUCAUACAUUUUCGUACUUCCCGAAUGAAUGGAAUACGAGGAUUCGUGUGCUUCUGACAAGAUUUUCCUCUUCAAGUCCGGUUGAUUUGGUACACAAAUUCGUCCACGGAAUCGGAGGGUACCGAAGUUGUCCUUGAAGAAAUCUGGGGGCUGCCUUGCAUGUUUUUGUAGCUUGGCGUCAUCUGGCUGGGCCUUGCGGAUUUCCAUCUCAAGUGUGGGGGUAACUUCCAAAAUAUUAGUGAGGCCAGCAUCCACGAUGACCAAGUUGAGCUGAGCGAUCUCCUCCUGAAGUUCGGUAGGCAAUGAUUUUAACAUGACAUUUAAGCUGACGGGCUUUCGACUGAGCGCAUCGGCAACGACGUUGGCCUUGCCUGGAUGGUAAUUUAUUCCAAGGUCAUAAUCCUUGACCAACUCUAACCAUCUUCGCUGACGGAGAUUUAAAUCUGGCCGACUGAAGAUGUACUUGAGGCUUUUGUGGUCGGUAAAAAUUUGGCACCUUUUUCCAAUGAGAUAGUGUCUCCAAAUUUUUAAUGCAUGAACCACUGUAGCCAAUUCCAAAUCAUGAGUAGGAUAAUUUCCCUCAUGUUGUCGUAGUUGUCGUGAUGCAUAGGCUACUACCUUGCCGUCUUGCAUCAAUACACAACCAAUACCUUGACUGGAGGCAUCGCAGUACACGUCGAAGCUGCGAUAAAUGUCUGGAAGAGUCAAUACGGGUGCGGUUGUCAGACGCGUCUUUAGCUCAUAAAAACUCUUCUCAGAGUCCUUGGUCCACUCAAACUUUGUAUCCUUUUUUAGCAGUUCCAUCAUAGGUUUAGCAAUUUUGGAAAACCCUUCAAUGAAACGACGAUAGUAUCCAGCUAAUCCAAGGAAACUCCGGAUCUGUGUUACAGUCGUGGGCGGUACCCAAUCGAGCACAUCCUUUACUUUGCUCGGGUCCACGGCUAUGCCUUCGGCGGAUAGUACAUGCCCGAGAAAUCCAACUUGCUUGAGCCAAAAUUCGCACUUACUGAACUUGGUGUAUAGCUGAUGGUUGCGGAGCCGUAGUAGCACUGCCCGUAGGUGAUCCUUAUGCUCUUCUUCACUCUUGGAGUAAAUGAGGAUGUCGAUAAAGACUACCACAAAUUUGUCGAGGAAGUCCAUGAACACCUUGUUCAUCAUAUGCAUGAAGAAGGCAGGGGCAUUGGUGAGACCAAAGGACAUCACAGUAUAUUCGUAAAGACCGUAUCGUGUAGUGAAUGUGGUCUUAGGAAUAUCUUCCCUUUUAAUCUUGAGCUGAUGAUACCCGGUCCGUAAAUCGAUUUUUGAGAAUACUUUAGCCCCGCUGAGCUGAUCGAACAGAUCAUCAAUCCUUGGCAGUGGGUAUUUAUUUUUGAUGGUGACCUCAUUCAGCUGGCGAUAAUCUAUGCACAUACGGAGACUGCCAUCCUUUUUACCCACGAAGAUUGCAGGUGACCCCCACGGUGAAGAGCUGGGACGAAUAUAACCUUUCUGGAGUAAUUCGUCAAGCUGUUUCUUUAGUUCCACUAAUUCUGAUGAGGGCAUCCGGUAAUACUUCUUGUAUAAUGGUGCGGUUCCGGGCACAAGAUCUAUGGCAAAUUCCAGUUCCCGAUCUGGUGGCAUGCCUGGCAGUUCUUCUGGAAACACAUCAGGGUACUCACUGACCACAGGAAUAAAUUCCAAUUCGACCACAGCAGUGCACACUAGUUCUGGCUUGGGUAUAUGCUUGCGAGCAUAGAAUUUGGUGAGCUGCCCAUUCAGACUGGUUAAAUUGACUUCUCGGGUUGCGCAGUUUAUACAAACUUGAUAUUUGGUCAGCCAAUUCAUUCCCAAUAUAAUAUCCAACUGUUCAGACUCAAUGAUUAUCAGAGAUGUUGGAAAGUGGACCCCGUUGAUAUUGAUCUCCAGACCACAGCAGACUAGAUUGCUCUUGAUUAUAGAUCCCAGGGUUUGUACCAGCAUAUUUUUGCCCAAAAUUGUGCAAGGAAAAUUGUUUUGGGCGGCAAAACUCCGAGAAAUAAAAGAAUGGGAAGCCCCAGAGUCAAAUAAAAUUACUGCAGGUAUGUCAUUAACAUAAAACAUACCAAUGACGACUUCUGGCUUCUCUUGGGAUUCAUCGGUGGAGAUAUGAUUCACGUGCCCAGUGAAGUUUUGCUGGGUUGGCCCUGACUCCAUAAAGUUGACUUGUGGCCUGCUCAGCGCAUUCACCUUGUGGUUCUUGGGGCACUGUUUGGCAUAAUGUCUGGGUUGCCCGCAAGUGAAACAAGAAUUAUUGCACUGCCGCUCCUCAUGCAUUGGAUUGGCCACAACAUUCUUGACUUGAGUGGUGGUCUUGUUAACAUUCUGCUGCCAAUUUGGCCGGUAUUCCACCUGAGUCUGCUGCCAGGUAUGAGCCUUUUGCAUAGGUUGCCCAUCCUUCUUUGGCUCAAACUUGUGCUUGUUGUCGUUAACAGCCUAUUAUCUGAUAUAAGCUUGUGUUCCCGUUCAGCAAUGAAUGCCUUGUCUACCAGAGUUUAGAAAUCCGUGAAAUCAAACAUACUGAGAGCACACCGAAGUUGCAGAUUUAAACCUCCAAGAAAUCUGUCCAUCUUACUUUCUUCGGUGGCUAGGUCAUACAGAGAGUAACGGGCCAGAUGAUUGAAUUUUUGCAGAUACUCAGCCACAGAUUGAUUUCCUUGGACAAGCGCGAGAAAUUCAUGCUGCUUGGCCUUCAUAACUCCAGUAGGGAUGUGAUAUUUGCGGAACUUAUCCUUGAAUUUUUUUCCCAGGUGACUUCCUCAUCAAUCAGCCACAUGGCUUUUGUAUUUUCCCACCAUAUGGCAGCUGCGCCUUCAAGGUAAUGGGUUGCAAAUGGGACUUUAUCAUUUCCUUUAGUACGGGCGAUCUCAAGCUUUUUCUCCAUGGUGCGCAACCAAUCGUCUGCAUCCAAUGGGUCAACAACCUGACUGAAAUAGGGUGGAUUGGUCCACUGAAAAUCUGACAGCUUUGAGUGAUGACCAUUCUGAUUUCCAUUUUGUCCAACUAUAGCUUGCACACUUCUCAAUAUUUCAAUCAGAUCAUUGUUCCUUUUUUCUUCAAACAUACGCUGAACUUGCUCGGUGGAGGGAGGAUCAGGCGGAGGAGGUGGUGGCUGAACGUACGGCUCGGGAGAAUAUCCUACCUGUCGUGCGGAACGACGAACAGGAGUUCCCUCACGAACAUUGCUACUGCCGCCUCCCCGCGUUAUCCUAUUGAGUAUUUUUCCCAAGGCAACGAAAUCGAGAUGAGAGACAUCCAAGAAUAAAAUUGGGGAAAAGCAAGCAACAAUUCUCGAAAAAGACAAAAGAGCGAAGAGAAUACGGCGAUUAAAGUCCCAUCAUAAUUAUACAUAGACUCAUACAUGAAAAUUUAACAACCUGACUGGUUCCACUACUCUCAUACAUGAAGCAUCAUGACUCGUACAACUACAUCCGUACACUAUCUAGACGACUGCGAAUACUCAAAGACACUACUGCUCUGCUGGUGCUGCGGUGUCCUCCCCUGAAGCGGUCUCAGAUCCCGAACUGACGUGGUUAACAGAAACCUCCGGGUUAAAGGUAACACGACGACGCUGGCUCGAGGGCUCUCCCUCAGGGGCAGGGGUAGGAUGAAGCAUCGGGGCUGCAGGAGUAGCAAGAAGUGAGACCCACUCAGCAGGAGUACUGAGAGGGUUCACGGCCGGAACGCCUGUGCUACUCGGGGGAGUAACCGGCAAAAUAGGGGAGCUAGAGCUAACUGGGACAUAAGGGGUAAAUCCCAGUGAGGAUGGAGUAGUGGUGGAUCUAGUAGUGACCAAGGUAGCGGCUAAAGCAGUACGGGCACGAGUCAGCGCUCGAGCGAGCUCAUGGAUCAUCAGAUAGCUAGCAGUGAUAUAGCGAGCAAGAUGGCUAGCAACACUAUCAGACUCCGGGUUAACGAGAGGAAAAUGGACACGACCGUUGUCGUGCAGAGAUGGGUAGUAAUAGAAUCCUGGGUGAUGCUGCAUUUGAACCUCGGUAUAAUGAAGCUCGACAAGGACCUCAAAUGCGGCAAACUGGACAGCCUGAGAAGCGGUGGAGGCGUAACCGCUCUGAGAAGUGCGAGUGUAAGAGCCGGAAUCGGAACUGGUGCGCAGAGUAACCACUGCGUGAUACUCAUACACUGAGUCUGCUAGACGCUCCCGGUACACACGGUAGACUGGUUCGUCUCCGUGAGGGUACAGCCGACGCCACACGUUGCGGAGAAGGUGCGGUGACGUGUACGGCAUCAACUACAACUGGCACGGAUACGACACCGGAGCCAUCUACACUCACAACCAUUAACAGGUUAGCAUAAAAAUAAUGACUACAAUGCAACAACCAGCUAUAACUACUACCGACACUCACAUUUACUCGUGUCUAGCGUCCAGUUAACACGUCGUAGUCUAGCGUGGCCUACAGUCAGCGCGGCUCUGAUACCAACCGUUGUGGCACCCUGCCUCAGAGCGACCGGUUUACCCUGCAUUGCCAGCCCAGAGAUCAUGUCUUCUGGCAACACACAACAUAUUGGUACAGAAAACAACCGCUUUAUUGAUGCUAGCGGAACAGAGUUCAUAUUACAACAGUGGUCGAGGCCAAGCGGCACACUCGCUACGGCGGAACAAUGUGUACAUUAUUUAGUGAAUAUAAAGGGGCCUUGACUCGAACAACUACGUGGCAGCAGAAUAACGUCGUAGCGGAAGCUCCAUAUCACAGGGACACUGAUGUGGACACGAUCUAGACUCUAACAAGCUCCUUUCUAACGAGACUUUCCUGAAAUCUGGCAUGACACGCCAGGUCAGUACAUUGAAUGUACUUGCAAGCUCACAACAAGCAUAAUCAUAAUGACAAACAAUAUCAUGAUAUUUAACCAAUUAUUAAUAAUGCAACAUUAUAUGUCAACAUGCUGUGAUCAAGCCCGAACGUCCCUCAGGACAGCUUACCAACUGUGAUCAUCUCUGGACCACAAACACACCACCAUAGUGGUCUUUCUCAAGAACAACUCGUGAUCCUUACGACGAUCACAACCACGACCAUCAUUUGGUCCCAAAUACCUCGAUGGCCUUUCUGCCAUCCAUUGACAAUGCAAAGUUCAUAGCUUAUUGUGCAAUUUUUAUUAAACGUUGACUCAUGGUGGGACCUAGUACGAGGUGUCCGUGACCGUGGACUCGGCUAUCGAUAGAUUAUACACUCUGCAGAGGUAGCACACUGUACCCACACCACGGAACCCAUGGCCUCGCAUUCCCAUUCAGGUGGACCAACGACAUUCCGACAAAACCCCUCCAUUGCCACAACACUCUCCCGGCCACUCCGACCCAAAUCCCCAGCGGGCUGGUCCUGGGUGGCCCCGUGUCUACCAAAGACACCCCGACCACCGUCGUGGUCAAAACACUCCCACUCGGGGACUCGGUACCAUAAUCUCAUCAACGAGCACACAAGAUUAUGUGUGCUUACCGGGCCAGGGCAAACACGACAUAACCUUCCCUAGAUGGAGGCACCGACCAGUGGCCGUGUCAAUGGACCGAAUCAAGGCCUUCCCACAAGGCAAAUGUGGUUGCACUGGAAAGAAACUCGAUUCAGCGGCACCAUGACCCAGUCAACGGUAUAUUCAAGUUGAGUUAUAUUCAGGAUUAACUUUAAAUUAAAAAUGACCGGUGUCAUAGCAUGCCAUGAAAUGCAAAACAACACAUGCAUCACAUAUUGAUAAAAAUGACCGACGUCAUCCAUAUGCACACAAAGCAUAAACGUCAACAACGCAUAUUACUCUACUUGCUCAAAAUGACUCACAACUUAACCAAAAUAUUUUGCAACAAGUUUUAUCAAUUUCCUACGCAAGAAAGUAAAUUCGAUAAAUUUUUCAUAUGCUUGACCAAAAGAUAUCAUUAUCAACAACUCUUAAUUUAUUUAUCACUAAGUUGGGUUCAAACAUUCUGUAAGACAAGUAAUAUGAUUAAACAAGUAUUUAACAGAAUAUUUUCUAACAAAUUUUUAUCAAUUUAAGAAUGCAAACACAAAGCUUUAAAUAAUUACUAACAUGCAUAACAAAAUUAUUUCUUACAUCACCUCAACUAAAUUUUAACUUGCUUUACCCACUUAAACUAGUUUCAACUAUUAUGUAAAUCAAGCAUAACAACUGACCAAUACUUAACAGAAUACAAAUAAUUCAAUUAUUAUUUAAAUGCAUGGGUUAAUCAUUUCAUUUAAGUGAGAAAAUCACAAAUAUUGAAAUGGCAUCAUAAAAAUGUUGUUGUGGCCUGCCUUAGUGCAGAUGAGGUUCACAAGCCUCCUGGUGAUCCUCAAGACAAGCCUCACCUUCUGAAAAUAAUUUUAAACACAAAAAGAAAAUAUCAAGAACACUUUUGAAAUUCACCAGAAAUUAUAAAAAGCUCAGAAAAAUCUCAUCUUUGGUGGCUGUUAGAUUUCCUUUCAAAGAACACAAUGCAAAAAGAAUCAUCUCAUUUGGACUUAUGGUUAAAAAGUUAAAAUUGUUUGAAGCUCUCUGGAAUAUAAAUGAAUUUGAAUAAAAAGAAACAGCUAGGGGGGGUGACGUCGAAGGCGUAAAGCCUAGGGGCGCCACCACUCGUACCGCUUCGCGUGUGUACUGAGUGGCUGGCUAGCGGGCCCCGCUAGUCAGGUGGGGGAAGAGGGAGAGAGAAACAGAGAGGGCCGCGGCUUCGCCGGAGCUCUCGCCGGCGACGAGGGCUCCUUGGCCCAAACAAGAGGGAGGGAUUUAGAGAGGGGACGAUGGCGCACCUGCCCGUACCCGUAGCAAGGCUAGGGGUGGUCGGACGGCAUCGGAAACUAGCUCGCAAGCGGAGGCAGAACAUGGAGGUCGCCGGUGUUGAGGAAGACGGCAAGCAGAGGUCACUCUAGAGGCUCCAAGCGGGCGAGAUGGCCUCACCGGAGAGAGGCGGAGGCCCUGGAGGGGUCGCCCAGGCCUGGGAGGGGCUGGAGCUACUGCGGCGACCAGAGGGGAUCGCCGGCGAGCUCGAGCUCGGGGACGGCGGCCCGAGGCCUGCCCGGCCGGGCUACGGCUUCCUACUUGAUCGUGGGGUGUGUGUGUGAGUGCUGGAUGGUGCUCGAGGAGGCUGGGGGUGGCUCUAUUUAUAGGCGAGCGGCGAGGGUGCUUCGGGCUCCGCCGGUGGACACCUGUCCAUGGCGCCCGGCGACGAGCGGCGUCAGUGAGAGGGGGAGAAGGCGACGGAGGUCACGCGGCCACUGUGGGCGAGCGGAGACGAGCACAGGAUCAAGGGGAUGGCGACGAGCACAGUGCGCUCCGCACUGUUGGGCUGGCCGGACCUUGCCCGUGCUCGCUGCGGCGAGCUCCGGCGUCGGCGAGUGCCAGGGAGGAGUUAAGGACGUCGAGACGAUGACGGUGGCGGGGUUUGGCAUGGUUGGGCAGGCGGGGGAAGCAAGCGCGCUCGAACAGAGCGCUCGGUGUCACCCAGAGCGCGUCGACACGCAUGCCUGGCAUCAUGGACACGCGUGGUCACCGCACGAACUCUCUCCUCAGGCCAACCUUCGUCCAAAAAUCAUGUUUGGCAUGUUGUUCGUGGUAGUUUUGAAGUUUACCACGGUUUGGUUUGGAUCCAGGUGCAGUAGAGAAGAUUUUACAAGCCAGGUAAGUUUCUGGUCAGUAACUUUGUGAUGUUACUGUGGUCAAAUGGCUGGGAGUUUGGGGCUGUGCUUUGGAGGCUAGUUAUAAGUUACUAAGGUAAAGAUGCACAAGAAAGUUCAGGUCAAAUGGAGCAAGUAAAAUGGUAGUUGCUGUAGAAACCACCAUUUCUGUCCAGAACAGAAAAGAUUUUCUGUAGCAAAAAUAUUCCAAAAAGUGAUGAAAUAUUUUGGCUCAGGGAGGUGCCCUAGGGUCCCUAGAAUAUUUUUGAAUUAUCUUAGAAUUUUCUGAGCCAUAAAAAUUAGGGUUGCCUCGAAGCAAACAGAUCUGGCUUAGGGUUUUUGAGAGAAAAUGAAUAUUUUUCAUUUAAGAAAAAUAUUCCAAAGGUUAUUUUGUGGUGGAUCAGAAGUGAAGUGAUGGUUUGGGAGAGAAGUGAACACUUGGGUGAAAGCCAAGGAUGCCCAAGUGUUUAAGUCCAAAUAAAAAGAUUCAGAAACUCCAAGUUUCAAAAACUUUCAAAUGAAAUUUCAAGCAAAUAAGAAAGGGCAAAAACCAGGCUGUCACACUUACUCAACUUAUCCAUCCUUAUUCAGAGCGUUUGCUUCUGAUCCUUUGAUUUGGAAAUCAUAAUUCCUUUACAUGUGAGCUUUGAAUUAGUCAGUUACUUCUAUAAUCCAAUGCCUUCGCAUCGUUUCUUCUUCUGGUUGUGUGCCGAUACUCGCAUCAGCUCCGCUAUGGACCGUCGGAUCCUUUGUUGAAAUAUCAUCCGAUAGUGUCCUUCGUAUACAAAAACCUCGAGAAAUUCUUUCCCUGAUACAAAAUGCCUUUGGUAAAUUGUAUCCUCUCCUUUUGUCACCCAUGCUCUACUAUCGAGCUUGUGUUAUUUACUAUUGAAGUUUGUGGUAUAUGUUCCUAAGAUGCCCUGGUGGGUUGAACCAACGCCUUCCCUAAUCUGUGUAAACCCGAAAGAUUUCUCGGGUCAUACUUGUCUGGUAUUGCACCAGGUAAAACUUUCAACAACUAAUGUCAUUUUCGAAAUACGAGAGGUGAAUGGAAGGUUAUGCAUUGGAGAAGUGGGAGUCAACCUUGAACUUUGUGUUCAUGCCCAUGGACACGAUGUAGAUCUUAUCAUUAAAGCCUCUCUUAAAUCAUUUUUUCCUUGGUAUAAGUUUAUCUUAUAUCUGGGAUCUGGCCUUUUGCAAUCGUGGUUCUGACCAUGUUCUCCUUUAUAUACCAUUUCUCGUGCAAGUUUAAGCACUUGUCCUCCGCAGAACAAUACCCCAGUCCAACCUCUACUUUGAUCUGUCGUCGAGUAUUACCCCCCUGGUAUCUCGAGAUUAUCACGGAACUGCAUAACUUCUUAUGAGUUCUUCAUCAAGUACUACAUUCUCACUGAUCCCAAUUUUUUUACGGGCUCUGAGUUAUUAAACACUCAAAGACACCGAUAACUGAAUCGAGUUCGCACCCCGAUUAAACAACUCUUGGUAACCUUCAUUACUUACGAAUUUGAACUCGAUCACGUAAGUCCUAGCCUGCUCGGCUAUAUCAUUAUCAUGCUAUACUUUAACUGUGCUACCUGGUCCUUAUUCCUGGAGCACAACUUUCGACGAUGAGCUAAGCUUAUGUCAAUCUUCCUCAUCAUAUCAUUUCGCCUUGAACAGCGAGCUUAGUUUUGAGUUUGUGUCGUACCCUUGGUUCCAAUAACCUUUCGCUUCACCAUUCCUUUGACUUGAUGUCAUUGCCAAUCGAUUACAUCUUGAAAUCUCUCGACAAAUUUGUCGUGAUCAUCAUCGGCAUUCUGAGCUCUUCCAGGAUAUCAAUUGAGUUCAUGAUGAGAAAUACCAUCCUUGCCCUUGAUGAUUUGUUUUAUCAUCGACCACCUUAUUGACUUCCCUCCAACACAAACUUGUUCGUGUUUUGUGUAUACCUUGAGAUCCUUGCUACCCAGCAUUUGUUCUUCUUUACCUUGGAGUAUUACCAUCUUUUAUGUCAAGAAUGUCGUGAGAAUUUCACCAUGUCAUGAGAGUUCUUGGUAUUGUGAUACUUCUCACCCUCGCCAUUCUUUCUUGGUCCCCGUAUUGAUUCUAACCGGGAUACCAACACGUGAACCGUGCUGCUUGCGUUCUGUACUUCUAGCAACCCUAUUGCUUUGAAGUUAAUGGUCGAUAUUUCAUCCUUAGACCAUUGGUUAUCGAAUCACCAUUCUAACAUUGAUCAUGCUACCUAAGCCCAUAUUUCGGGUGCACCUUUCAACCAAUGUUUAACUGUGUAUGUUUUCCUCGAGCAUACUUCAUUAUAUCAUUUGAUAUGACAAAUGUUAACUCCUUGUUCACAUAAGUGUGGAAAUCGAUCUUUUGAAAAUCUCAAUGAAUUGUCGCUGAGUCAAUCAACCACCUCCUCACCUCUCCUUGAUUUAAUGAUGAACUCUUGUUUCGGAACUCGCUUCCAUAGUGCAAUUCUCGAGAAUCUUAUAAUGUCAUCUCGACAAUUUGUGUUGCACCUUUCUUCUCAGACAUCCCGAGUCUGAGCUAUCCUGACACCAAUCAGAUCUGAAUCUCGGUCAGAUAUGAUGGUUGGAACAUAUUUCCAAGAGUUAUAACAAUGGUGUUUAUGUGAACCAGUAAGGUGAUGUCGUGCCUAGCACACCUGGCCGGAGGCCCUAUUGUUAUAGUUUCCUUUUCAGCAAGGCUAUCCUUUCUUCCAUGAGGAAAUUGUAAGACUUAUUCUAUAAGUUGUUCCUGAUGGAUCCUUUUUGUUUCCAAAGUCUGAUCUUCACCUGUUGACCAUGUCAAUGCUAUCUCGAAGCAUGUCUAUGGUACUCUGAUUUUCAACAGGAACAUUUGAAUCCCAAUGUUAAAUGUUUCCUGCUCAAUUAUCCAAACACCGUUGUAUGGGUAAUGUCAUGAUAUUUCUCUCCCCUCUCCUAAAGGGUUUUCUAUGUUAUAUCCUAUCAUGGAUAUCAUGCUCUGCUUGUCCUUGGGAAGGAUAUACCCUUGAAAUAUGUGUUUAAACACAUUUUCCUUUCCAUUGUUCUGUUUGAUCUGAUGAUCACAUUUUCAUUUCCAUUGAUUUGUUUAACCUUCCUUGUGAUCCAUAUGAUCUAAGCAGUAAUAUUCUUCUGCUUAUGUAAACACCUUGGUGUACAACCGUGUCAAUAAGAACAUGUUGCAUUUGUUGAUAGCAUUCCCGUAACCACCGAUGGACGAGAACUUUACCUAUUGGUCGGCCUCGUUCAAUGAGCAGGAAAAUGGUUCUCUUCGUCCCUCGCCCUUGGUAUCGAUGUUGUUGCCGACAUAACCGACAGACUAUCCUCUGACAUGCCUUGCUUACGUGAUCGUGCAAGACGUCACCGCCCUUCCUACUUUAACCCACAUGGUCGGCCCAUAACCCACAGUUCCACAGGAUCAAAACCUGACUCUCCUGUACAUCAUUGUUCCCAAGGUUAUUCCUCACGCUUGGCUUCGUAUGAAAUUCAUGGGCCAUCGUCCUAGUGAUCUAUUUUGGUAACAGGCGCAAUACUCAAUCUCGUUGCUCUGGACCCCUUUCACACGGUCUUUUAGACAUCGAACGAUUGCCUAUUCGUUUGAAACUUCUCAUGGUACCUUCUUACUUUGCUCUCGAUAUCUUCUUAAGUUUCAACUCGGGAGAUACUUAUGCUUCUCCCCAUGAGUUAACCGUCCGAUGCUCAAUCUUGUUAGAAUUCGUCCUUAUAGAGCUUUUCCCCUCUUAUCCUUUCCUAAGUACGGUGAAGAUCCUGAAGGAAGGACGACAGCUACAUCAUGAUUACCUGAAGCAGAGGAACGAAGACAUCAAUAUAAUGGAUCGAUCUCUUCGAGAAGAGCAAGCAAGACCGAGAAGAUUCAUUAGAAUUUCGUAACCAGAUCUUUCCCCCUUACUCCACCUCUUAAAAUCUCGGGACGAGAUUUCUUGUACUGGACGAGAAUUGUGACGCCCGGAUAAUUAAGCUACAAUGAUCUCAUGCUAAUGAUGCCAUGUCAUUAUGAUUACUAUGCUAACUGCCGCCUGUUCCAAAUCAGCUCCAAAAAUCCAAUAUAAAUUGCAAUUGAGAAAACAUUUCUUCAAACUGACAAAUAAAAAUGUUGAAUGGGUUGAAAAUAUUCACUAAAUAAUUAACAUAUAGGAAACAACAUUAAAUGGAUUUUUAAAUUGCCCCUAGGAGUUUUUAGCGGAUCAACGGGAUUAAAUAAACACAUUUUAAUUCAAAUAUAAAUUUGAAUAGUCCCAAUUGGCCUCAAACCUUUUUGUACAUCCCUAUAAGAUAGCCUUGUAUUUAUGUGCUAACUCUCACAAUUAACAAAAAUCAUCUGACAGCAUAAAGUAAAUGCAAAACAUUGGAGAAAUUACAAAAUAGUAAAUAAAAAUAAGAAAAGAAAGAUGCCUAACUACUAC